UACGUAGGGUGCAAGCGUUAAUCGGAAUUACUGGGCGUAAAGCGUGCGCAGGCGGUUCGGAAAGAGAGGUGUGAAAUCCCAGGGCUUAACCUUGGAACUGCACUUCUAGCUACCGGGCUAGAGUACGUCAGAGGGGGGUAGAAUUCCACGUGUAGCAGUGAAAUGCGUAGAGAUGUGGAGGAAUACCGAUGGCGAAGGCAGCCCCCUGGGAUGAUACUGACGCUCAUGCACGAAAGCGUGGGGAGCAAACAGG
rnacentral:rRNA from 1 species